AGCGUACACGGUGGAUGCCCUGGCAGUCAGAGGCGAUGAAGGACGUGCUAAUCUGCGAAAAGCGUCGGUAAGGUGAUAUGAACCGUUAUAACCGGCGAUGUCCGAAUGGGGAAACCCAGUGCAAUUCGUUGCACUAUCGUUAACUGAAUACAUAGGUUAACGAGGCGAACCGGGGGAACUGAAACAUCUAAGUACCCCGAGGAAAAGAAAUCAACCGAGAUUCCCCCAGUAGCGGCGAGCGAACGGGGAGCAGCCCAGAGUCUGAAUCAGCUUGUGUGUUAGUGGAACGGUCUGGAAAGUCCGACGGUACAGGGUGAUAGUCCCGUACACCAAAAUGCACAGGCUGUGAACUCGAAGAGUAGGGCGGGACACGUGGUAUCCUGUCUGAAUAUGGGGGGACCAUCCUCCAAGGCUAAAUACUCCUGACUGACCGAUAGUGAACCAGUACCGUGAGGGAAAGGCGAAAAGAACCCCGGCGAGGGGAGUGAAAAAGAACCUGAAACCGUGUACGUACAAGCAGUGGGAGCACCUUCGGGUGUGACUGCGUACCUUUUGUAUAAUGGGUCAGCGACUUAUAUUCUGUAGCAAGGUUAACCGAAUAGGGGAGCCGAAGGGAAACCGAGUCUUAACUGGGCGUUAAGUUGCAGGGUAUAGACCCGAAACCCGGUGAUCUAGCCAUGGGCAGGUUGAAGGUUGGGUAACACUAACUGGAGGACCGAACCGACUAAUGUUGAAAAAUUAGCGGAUGACUUGUGGCUGGGGGUGAAAGGCCAAUCAAACCGGGAGAUAGCUGGUUCUCCCCGAAAGCUAUUUAGGUAGCGCCUCGUGAAUUCAUCUUCGGGGGUAGAGCACUGUUUCGGCUAGGGGGUCAUCCCGACUUACCAACCCGAUGCAAACUACGAAUACCGAAGAAUGUUAUCACGGGAGACACACGGCGGGUGCUAACGUCCGUCGUGAAGAGGGAAACAACCCAGACCGCCAGCUAAGGUCCCAAAGUCAUGGUUAAGUGGGAAACGAUGUGGGAAGGCACAGACAGCCAGGAUGUUGGCUUAGAAGCAGCCAUCAUUUAAAGAAAGCGUAAUAGCUCACUGGUCGAGUCGGCCUGCGCGGAAGAUGUAACGGGGCUAAACCAUGCACCGAAGCUGCGGCAGCGACACUAUGUGUUGUUGGGUAGGGGAGCGUUCUGUAAGCCUGCGAAGGUGUGCUGUGAGGCAUGCUGGAGGUAUCAGAAGUGCGAAUGCUGACAUAAGUAACGAUAAAGCGGGUGAAAAGCCCGCUCGCCGGAAGACCAAGGGUUCCUGUCCAACGUUAAUCGGGGCAGGGUGAGUCGACCCCUAAGGCGAGGCCGAAAGGCGUAGUCGAUGGGAAACAGGUUAAUAUUCCUGUACUUGGUGUUACUGCGAAGGGGGGACGGAGAAGGCUAUGUUAGCCGGGCGACGGUUGUCCCGGUUUAAGCAUGUAGGCUGGUUAUCCAGGCAAAUCCGGAUAAUCAAGGCUGAGGUGUGAUGACGAGGCACUACGGUGCUGAAGUAACAAAUGCCCUGCUUCCAGGAAAAGCCUCUAAGCAUCAGGUAACAUCAAAUCGUACCCCAAACCGACACAGGUGGUCAGGUAGAGAAUACCAAGGCGCUUGAGAGAACUCGGGUGAAGGAACUAGGCAAAAUGGUGCCGUAACUUCGGGAGAAGGCACGCUGAUAUGUAGGUGAAGUCCCUCGCGGAUGGAGCUGAAAUCAGUCGAAGAUACCAGCUGGCUGCAACUGUUUAUUAAAAACACAGCACUGUGCAAACACGAAAGUGGACGUAUACGGUGUGACGCCUGCCCGGUGCCGGAAGGUUAAUUGAUGGGGUUAUCCGUAAGGAGAAGCUCUUGAUCGAAGCCCCGGUAAACGGCGGCCGUAACUAUAACGGUCCUAAGGUAGCGAAAUUCCUUGUCGGGUAAGUUCCGACCUGCACGAAUGGCGUAAUGAUGGCCAGGCUGUCUCCACCCGAGACUCAGUGAAAUUGAACUCGCUGUGAAGAUGCAGUGUACCCGCGGCAAGACGGAAAGACCCCGUGAACCUUUACUAUAGCUUGACACUGAACAUUGAGCCUUGAUGUGUAGGAUAGGUGGGAGGCUUUGAAGCGUGGACGCCAGUCUGCGUGGAGCCAACCUUGAAAUACCACCCUUUAAUGUUUGAUGUUCUAACGUUGGCCCCUUACCGGGGUUGCGGACAGUGUCUGGUGGGUAGUUUGACUGGGGCGGUCUCCUCCCAAAGCGUAACGGAGGAGCACGAAGGUUAGCUAAUCCUGGUCGGACAUCAGGAGGUUAGUGCAAUGGCAUAAGCUAGCUUGACUGCGAGCGUGACGGCGCGAGCAGGUGCGAAAGCAGGUCAUAGUGAUCCGGUGGUUCUGAAUGGAAGGGCCAUCGCUCAACGGAUAAAAGGUACUCCGGGGAUAACAGGCUGAUACCGCCCAAGAGUUCAUAUCGACGGCGGUGUUUGGCACCUCGAUGUCGGCUCAUCACAUCCUGGGGCUGAAGUAGGUCCCAAGGGUAUGGCUGUUCGCCAUUUAAAGUGGUACGCGAGCUGGGUUUAGAACGUCGUGAGACAGUUCGGUCCCUAUCUGCCGUGGGCGCUGGAGAACUGAGGGGGGCUGCUCCUAGUACGAGAGGACCGGAGUGGACGCAUCACUGGUGUUCGGGUUGUCAUGCCAAUGGCACUGCCCGGUAGCUAAAUGCGGAAGAGAUAAGUGCUGAAAGCAUCUAAGCACGAAACUUGCCCCGAGAUGAGUUCUCCCUGACUCCUUGA
rnacentral:rRNA from 1 species